GUAGGAAGCUUCGGUCCAGACAUGUCCAACAACAUGGCCAAGAUCGCCGAGGCCCGAAAGACCGUGGAACAGCUGAAGCUGGAGGUGUCACAGGCGGCGGCUGAACUGUUGGCCUUCUGCGAAACGCAUGCCAAAGACGACCCGCUGGUGACGCCGGUGCCG